rnacentral:lncRNA from 1 species
AGUGUGCUCAGCACGUGGAAUGGCUUCUUCACUUCGCUGUGCUUUGUUGGGGCUCUCAUUUGAGAAACAUUUUUGUUCUUAUACUCAGAUUUUUGUCAAACAGAGUUGAGCCAGAGGAACAGUCCAGGGUGGCAGAGGGACACACCAGGAAGGAGCAGGAGAGAUGACCCAGGGAGGAUCCAGGGACGACCCAGAGACAAUCCUUAGAACUCAAAGUCAAAACUGAGGAACUCAGUGGCUUCACGCUGCGGCUGAAAUAGGACCCCAGUUACCACAGCAGCCCCACAGAGUGUUUAGGUGUUCUUGGAUGGACGAUUUAUUUUGGAAUGGAGCUCCCCUCUCUCAUCAUGUCAACUAAUUUCUGGCAAUUUCUGGCAUCUGUGUCCUUCCUCAGUGAAGUGGAGGGCUGCUGGCAGCUGUGUUUUACACCACACUGCCCUGAAUACUCUAUCAACCUCCUGCUGUGCCACACAUCAUCACAUGAUCACAAAGACCCGAGACCUGAGACUCUUCAUCUCUCGGUGUCUCUUUCACCUAUGAACACAAUAUGAUAAAUCUCGUAGUAAAUACUACAUUUACUAAAAGAAAGUCAAGAAGUGCCCCUAGACAGAUGUGUUUACCCAUUGUAAGGACCACCCAUUGGCCCAAAAACAAAACCCAACGGUUAAGGUUAAGGUACGCUGUAAGGUUUAAGGUUUAAAUUCACUCCUUUUGUUUAUUUAGGAUCAAUUUAAUUUCAUGAUUUAUUUGACUCCAGUUUUAAAUUAUUCUCAAAUUUAAGUUGGAAUAUUAGUUUUGUUACGAUUUUAUUAAGAUUUGCCUGGUGGUUAUGCAUGCACUGC